rnacentral:rRNA from 1 species
UACGGGGGGGGCAAGCGUUGUUCGGAAUUACUGGGCGUAAAGGGCUCGUAGGCGGCCAACUAAGUCGGACGUGAAAUCCCUCGGCUUAACCGGGGAACUGCGUCCGAUACUGGAUGGCUUGAGUUCGGGAGAGGGAUGCGGAAUUCCAGGUGUAGCGGCGAAAUGCGUAGAUAUCAGGAAGAACACCCGUGGCGAAGGCGGCUCUCUGGGACGGUACUGACGCUGAGACGCGAAAGCGUGGGGAGCGAACAGG